UAGGGAUGACAGGAUUGAACCC
rnacentral:tRNA from 1 species